rnacentral:SRP_RNA from 1 species
ACUGGAUGCAGUGGCGCAUGCCUGUAGUUCCAGCUACUUGGGAGGCUGAGGCAGGAGGAUCACUUGAGUCCAGGAGUUCUGGGCUAUGGUGUGCUGUGCUGAUUGGCUGUCUGCACUAAGUUUGGCAUCAAUAAGGUGACCUCCCAGGAGCAGGGGACCACCAGGUUGCCCAAGGAGGAGUGAACCGGCCCAGAUCCGAAAUGGAGCAGGUCAGAACUCCCAUGCUGAUCAGUGGGAUCAUGCCUGUGAAUAGCCACUGCAUUCCAGCCUGGGCAACAUAGUGAGACCUGGUUUCU